rnacentral:rRNA from 1 species
CUACGUGCCAGCAGCCGCGGUAAUACGGAGGGUGCGAGCGUUAAUCGGAAUAACUGGGCGUAAAGGGCACGCAGGCGGCUAUUUAAGUGAGGUGUGAAAUCCCCGGGCUUAACCUGGGAAUUGCAUUUCAGACUGGGUAGCUAGAGUACUUUAGGGAGGGGUAGAAUUCCACGUGUAGCGGUGAAAUGCGUAGAGAUGUGGAGGAAUACCGAAGGCGAAGGCAGCCCCUUGGGAAUGUACUGACGCUCAUGUGCGAAAGCGUGGGGAGCAAACAGGAUUAGAUACCCUGGUAGUCCACGCUGUAAACGCUGUCGAUUUGGGGAUUGGGCCUUGAGCUUGGUGCCCGAAGCUAACGUGAUAAAUCGACCGCCUGGGGAGUACGGCCGCAAGGUUAAAACUCAAAUGAAUUGACGGGGGCCCGCACAAGCGGUGGAGCAUGUGGUUUAAUUCGAUGCAACGCGAAGAACCUUACCUACUCUUGAC